rnacentral:lncRNA from 1 species
CGAGUGUUGGGGGAAAGUUAUGGGAGGGUUGUACGCAUUUGUACAUUCUAGUCAUCGUGAAUCAGCACGGCAUUGCACUAGAGAUCGUAUUCCCUGAUUCGACGAUUUAUGUGUACAACCCCAAUCAUUCAUAUUUGACACAGGGACAACUCGAGCAGAACUUAGAGCUGGUGACUGUGAUUGUUCCCUUGAUGGCUAGACAUGCAGGCUUGACUAUAGAAGAAAAACUAGUCAUCGUGCGGGACAGUCGAUCAAAUAGCCGGCCAAACAGUCGACAUGACCGUGGACUUGUUGCGCGAUCGAGUUGAGAGAUAUUUACAAUCAUUCCACAAGCUUGGCCGCAUAAUACUGAACAUUGAGUUCUUCCGUGUUGUUACCAUUGAGUAUCAGUCGCUCCAGCUUCUAGGUAACGAAUAUGUGCUUCCCGCGUGUAUGCUCGAGUGGGUCAUCGGGCUGUCACCGAGUGUUGGGGGAAAGCCAUAGGAGGGUUGUACGCAUUUGUACAUUUCAGUGAUCGUAAAUCAACAUUGCAUUGCACUGGAGAUCAUGUUCCUUAAUUCGACGAUAUAUGUGUACAAUCCUGAUCAUUC